CUAGCAGACCGAAGCUCUAGACAGGACUCGGCAUGAGUGAGACUCGAACCAUCGCCCGUCUGUACUUCAAGGUGCCAGGGGCCGGCGACAAGUGCUCUGCGCCACCUGCCAGGCCGUGGAAUUAGUGCAAAUGUGUUUGUUUUCAUCUUAAACCAUUGUCAGUGACGUCAUUCUACGCGACUACCACAGGUGAAGGUGCUGCCCACCCAUGAUGCCAGCAAGGUGCGUGCAAGUGGAUCCGGCCUUAAAACCACUGGAGUGCCCAGCUCUCUGCCAGUGAAGUUCAACAUUGAUGGCAAAGAU